CGGGCGGGCUCUGUACGGCUGGCCGCCGUGAACCAUGUCAGGCGGGGAACCGAGCAGCAUUAAGCGGAUUGGCCGGUGCGAUGCAGGUUGUGUCUGUUCGUCCG
rnacentral:SRP_RNA from 1 species